AUUUAAACGGGAUUGAAGCGGCAUCCUCCGAUCCGAUUUUCCAUCGGAAUCGAAGAUAUAGCGAAAAGCCCGGCUAACA
rnacentral:sRNA from 1 species